rnacentral:piRNA from 1 species
UGGAAAUCAAAGCAAUUCUACCUCAGCCUC